GCUAGCUACAGGCUUAACACAUGCAAGUCGAGGGGCAGCAUGGUCUUAGCUUGCUAAGGCCGAUGGCGACCGGCGCACGGGUGAGUAACACGUAUCCAACCUGCCGUCUACUCUUGGACAGCCUUCUGAAAGGAAGAUUAAUACAAGAUGGCAUCAUGAGUCCGCAUGUUCACAUGAUUAAAGGUAUUCCGGUAGACGAUGGGGAUGCGUUCCAUUAGAUAGUAGGCGGGGUAACGGCCCACCCAGUCUUCGAUGGAUAGGGGUUCUGAGAGGAAGGUCCCCCACAUUGGAACUGAGACACGGUCCAAACUCCUACGGGAGGCAGCAGUGAGGAAUAUUGGUCAAUGGGCGAGAGCCUGAACCAGCCAAGUAGCGUGAAGGAUGACUGCCCUAUGGGUUGUAAACUUCUUUUAUAAAGGAAUAAAGUCGGGUAUGGAUACCCGUUUGCAUGUACUUUAUGAAUAAGGAUCGGCUAACUCCGUGCCAGCAGCCGCGGUAAUACGGAGGAUCCGAGCGUUAUCCGCAUUUAUUGGGUUUAAAGGGAGCGUAUAUGGAUGUUUAAGUCAGUUGUGACAGUUUGCGGCUAAACCGCAAGAUUGCAGUUGAUCCUGGAUGUCUUGAGUGCAGUUGAGGCAGGCGGAAUUCGUGGUGUAGCGGUGAAAUGCUUAGAUAUCACGAAGAACUCCGAUUGCGAAGGCAGCCUGCUAAGCUGCAACUGACAUUGAGGCUCGAAAGUGUGGGUAUCAAACAGGAUUAGAUACCCUGGUAGUCCACACGGUAAACGAUGAAUACUCGCUGUUUGCGAUAUACUGCAAGCGGCCAAGCGAAAGCGUUAAGUAUUCCACCUGGGGAGUACGCCGGCAACGGUGAAACUCAAAGGAAUUGACGGGGGCCCGCACAAGCGGAGGAACAUGUGGUUUAAUUCGAUGAUACGCGAGGAACCUUACCCGGGCUUAAAUUGCAGAUGAAUUACGGUGGAAGCCGUAAGCCGCAAGGCAUCUGUGAAGGUGCUGCAUGGUUGUCGUCAGCUCGUGCCGUGAGGUGUCGGCUUAAGUGCCAUAACGAGCGCAACCCUUGUUGUCAGUUACUAACAGGUUCCGCUGAGGACUCUGACAAGACUGCCAUCGUAAGAUGUGAGGAAGGUGGGGAUGACGUCAAAUCAGCACGGCCCUUACGUCCGGGGCUACACACGUGUUACAAUGGGUGGUACAGAGGGCCGCUACCACGCGAGUGGAUGCCAAUCCCCAAAACCUCUCUCAGUUCGGACUGGAGUCUGCAACCCGACUCCACGAAGCUGGAUUCGCUAGUAAUCGCGCAUCAGCCACGGCGCGGUGAAUACGUUCCCGGGCCUUGUACACACCGCCCGUCAAGCCAUGGGAGCCGGGGGUACCUGAAGUGCGUAACCGCGAGGAGCGCCCUAGGGUAAAACUGA
rnacentral:rRNA from 1 species